GACGAACGCUGGCGGCGUGCCUAAUACAUGCCAGUAGAACACUGAAGAGAGGAGCUUGCUCUUCUUGGAUGAGUUGCGAACGGGUGAGUAACGCGUAGGUAACCUGCCUUGUAGCGGGGGAUAACUAUUGGAAACGAUAGCUAAUACCGCAUAACAAUGGAUGACACAUGUCAUUUAUUUGAAAGGGGCAAUUGCUCCACUACAAGAUGGACCUGCGUUGUAUUAGCUAGUAGGUGAGGUAAUGGCUCACCUAGGCGACGAUACAUAGCCGACCUGAGAGGGUGAUCGGCCACACUGGGACUGAGACACGGCCCAGACUCCUACGGGAGGCAGCAGUAGGGAAUCUUCGGCAAUGGGGGCAACCCUGACCGAGCAACGCCGCGUGAGUGAAGAAGGGUUUCGGAUCGUAAAGCUCUGUUGUAAGUCAAGAACGGGUGUGAGAGUGGAAAGUUCACACUGUGACGGUAGCUUACCAGAAAGGGACGGCUAACUACGUG
rnacentral:rRNA from 1 species